UACGGAGGGUGCAAGCGUUGUCCGGAUUUAUUGGGUUUAAAGGGUGCGUAGGCGGCUUUUUAAGUCAGUGGUGAAAUACAGCAGCUCAACUGUUGAGGUGCCAUUGAUACUGAAGAGCUUGAGUACAGAUGAGGUAGGCGGAAUUUAUGGUGUAGCGGUGAAAAUGCAUAGAUACCAUAAAGAACACCGAUUGCGAAGGCAGCUUACUAAGCUGUAACUGACGCUGAGGCACGAAAGCGUGGGGAGCGAACAGG
rnacentral:rRNA from 1 species